rnacentral:lncRNA from 10 species
UGUACUUUCUAUUUUUCAACAUCACAUUUUAAUGAAUAUAUAUUACUAAAUUUAUAUAAUAAUUUAGUAUCCUUGUUCUAUAAUUCGAAAUGUUAUCUUUAAAAACACUUAUUUCACUCUUCAUUCCAUGUAUUCAUGCUGUAUCUGUUAGCACUAUUCUUGACAUUGGGAAUAUGGUAGUAAAUAACAUAAAGAUCUCUACAUUUAUUGAUUAGCACUGCAUGAAAUCUUUGUAUAUGUCAGGAAUUAUGACUUUUACAUCUGUUUUCCUGUGUUGUAAUUUUACUUAAUAACUGUUUUUAUUGGACAAGAUACUUCACAUAGCUAAAUCUUAGUUUUCUCAUAUAUAAAGUUGAAAUAAUAACAAACAAUUCAUAUGGUUGCUGUGAAGAUUUCAGGGACUAAUGACCAUAGAACACUUAGUAUGGAGUAAUUACUAAAAAACAGAGUGAAAAGACUUGCUGGGUGCAAAGGAGCUUUCAGCAUUGGCCACAAUUGUACUUAUACCACCCCACAAAUUUUGGCUUUUGUGUUGAUAGUGGUCACCAUCCUACACUAUAUUACUUCCCUGUCACUGGAUUUUCAGUGGAAUCUCCCUGGUCUAUCAUUUAAACCCAGUCCUUGAUGCCUUAGAGCCUUAACAAAUCUGUAUAAUUUUUUUUUUAAAGGAAAGAUUUCUUUUACACAGUGUCACUUUACCCUAUAUUAAAUAACUAAAGAUCUCUCUCAACUUGUGUAAUAGUAUUUUGUAUUUCAAAGUAAUUUUCUGACACAAUCUCUGAUAAGAAGUAUGUAGCCACUUCACUAGCUAAAAUAAAUUACUAAAUAAACUGAUUAAGAAACACAUGUUUAUAUUAUUUUGUUAGCAAUAACAUUGCUGAAAGCAAACAAUCUACUACAAUUUUAAUGUUAUCUCCAUUUGCUGGUUCUGUAUAAUUACCUGCAUAACCUUUAUUCGUUCUGCUUAAAUACUUCAAUUCUAUGAUUUAUGGGAAAAUAUUAUACACUAUAAUGAAGAAUUUACCUGAGUGUCUCUUUUCUCUCUCUUCCUCCUCAUAGCCAUCAUUCAUGUGUGUAAAUAUAUAUAUAUAUAUAUAUAUAUAUACACACAUGCCAGUCCUCACAAUAACAGUAUUGCUUCAAUUAUUUACUCUAAAUUGCCUAUUUUAACCCUUCCUUUAGGUGCACUUUAAUUUCAAAACACAGUACUUAAGCUUUAUGUCUCUUUUCUUUCCUUUAUUCUUAUUUUUGGAGCAGAAGUUUAAGUGCAGUUUAGUUUCCAUUCUGUAUGAUAGAAAUGCUAAAAGGCGUUUUGGGUCUAAAUAACUAUUUCAUUUUCCCUACAUUUAUUAUUACAGGCUCCCUUAAACUCAGCAAUUUUAAAGCUAUUUUUAGAGGCAAGCCACUCUAGAUGGCAGCGGACUGAUAGUUGACACUGAAACAAUGAACUAUGUCCUAUUCCUCUUCGAGAAUUUUUUUUUUUUUUUUUUUUUUUUGCUAGCAAAUAGCCAAUUGUGAAGGAUCUACUUUUCUCAGUUUUUAGUUCCAAAGUCCCAUCAAUCAUACCAGUCCUGAGGGGAAAAAGCAUCGUGUGUACACUAACAUUUUCAAGCCCAAAGCUGUGUUGUUGCUCUCUCUAGCAGUACCAUCUGCUCUGAGCCAACUUGAAAGCCAAGGGACUCCAGUAAACCUUCACGUCAAAAACUUCCCACUAUGCAAGGAAAUCAUCAUAAAGGAUCUGUGUGAAAUGUGAGCCACAUACUUCAAAAAGAAGGCAGCAAUGUUUGGAAUAACACCAUAGAAUUCAAACAGAGAGCCUAUUACGAAAUUCACAAAGAAACAGCUAGACCAGGAGGUGGCACAAUCUAAAGAAAACUGCAAAAAUUAAAGGAGUAUAAAAAAGAAAAGAAAACCUGAUCAGAAUGUUGUCAUUAAAUAAACGUAAGCAUACUUUAGUGAUCCUGCUUUUAAAAGGGCUUUCUACAUUUUUGAAAAUAGAUAAAAAUAUUUUUUCAACAAAAGUUGUCUCAUAUUACAUAGAAUCAUACUUUCAAGUUAUCUUAAGUAAUAAUCAAUACUUAAAUCUUUUUGAAAGCAUAUGAUUGAAUUACAUCAGAACUUAAUAUACAACAAACUAUAUAAAAUAAAUAUGUAUGUCAUAUUUAAUUGUGAUAUACCUUUUUCUAACUGAAAUUUAGCAUGAUAAUACAAGGCCAGAAACAUACUUUUUAUUUCCCUUUAAGUAUUUCAUUUUAUCUUCAUUUACGAGACAUUAUCUUGUAUAGAAUGUGCUGCUUGGGGAAAAAAUGUAAGAAGUAGAGAUUUUGAUAAAGCAGAGAAGAACAAGAAAUCUUCAACAGAAUAGCAAUGUGGAAAUUAUGAACUUAGAAGUAUCCAAGGAAAGGAAAAUUCAAAAGCAGGAAAAUCUCCUAAAGCCUAAGAAUGAGGGGAAGUUUUGUGAUAUUCACUGAAACUGACUGGCGAUGUGGAGUUUUUUUUGUUUUGGUUUUUGCUUUCUGCUAUGAGUGUUAAACACUUAAUCAGUUACCAUUUUGCUGUGGAAAAAAAAUCAUUCCAAAUUUUAGUAGCUUAAGACAACAUUUAUGAUUAUCUCUCAGUUCCUUGUGAUAAGACUGGCAAGGUGAUUGUUACUGAGUUCUUCAUGCAGGUGUAGUUCAAAAGGAAGAUUGGACUGAAGACAUCUGAAGAAUUGACUGGUUGUUAAAAAUUGCUCACUGUAUGGCUGCUUAUUGCUGUAGCUGUUGAGGCUAAGCAUUGUACCUGUAUAUGAUCUCCCUACAUAGCUAGAACUCUCAAUACAUGGCAUUUAGGUCCUCAGAGGAAGUGACCUAAAAGUAAGUUUCCAAGAGAUUCAUGAUGUACAACUAUUCUUAUGAUCUAGCCUGAAAAGUCUCUUUUUCCACUUGUUAAUGUUUAAUCAGGUCUUUAAGGUCGGCUAAAUUUAAGAGGAGGGAGAUAAGAUCACAUCUUUGGUCUCAUCUUUAAUUGGUGGCAUAUCAUACUGGGAGGGAAGGAGUUGAUAGUGGCCAUCAUUAGACAUUAUCCACCUCAAAUAUAGUAAGUGUUAACCAUUAUAAAUCUAUGACUAAAUAUUCUAACAACUUUUGUUAUUAUAAUUUAAAUUUACAUUUUUGUAAUUAUAUUUAAGUAUUCAGUGCUUGCUUUUUACUAGGAAUUGUACUUAGUGCUUUGUAAGUAUAUCUAAUGUAAUUUUUAGCCGUAUGAAGUAGUUAUUAGUUCUUGUAAAAUGUAGGAAAGUUAAUAUUUUUUUUCAAGGUCACAGAACUGGUAAAUGAAGUAUUGCCUAAGGAGCUAAAAUGUUUUCUCUUAUUGUGACACUGUUGCUGCAUCUCUGACUUUAUUGCUGACUUUUCUAGUUAUUCACACUCCACAAUGAGUGUUUUUCAAUAUUCUGUAGUUUAUUUUCUUUAAAUUGGGCAAUUUUCUUUACUUAUAUGGCUCAGGUGAUCACUUCUACGAAUUGACUUUUAACCUUUGCAGUCCAAUUCCUCAUCUUUUUCUUUAGAUUCAGUGCAGCAUUUCCUAGUCCUUGUUGCACAUUACCACUUGCAUCUUCUUUAAUGAGAAAUAAAACACAUCUGAGCAUUAUUUAACUUAUUUUCCUAUAUAUAUUAUUUCAAAAAUCUCCAGUCUCUCAAGAAGUCAGAGCCUUCUAUGAUUAUUUUCUUUCAGUCAAUUUAAGUACCUUGUUCUGGUAUCCCUUCUUUCAUAAUAUCAAUUUGAUUUAUACUUCUGCUUCUGAUUCCACAUCAGUUCCUCCAUCCACCAUAUAGAUAUAGUCACCUAAUGUAUGUUCCCCAAUUGCUCUUUUGAUUAUGUCAAGACUCUAAAACAAUUAUUGAAGUUACAUUUUAUAUGAAACAAACAUUAACAUUCUUAAUUCAACAGAAAAGUUUCUCUUAAAUUUGUUUUGCUGCUCUGCUCCAAAUUGCUUGCCAAUGUGUCUCUUCAUUAGCACUUACACCCCCAUGACAUUUGAAUAUCUAUAU